AUGGCUCUGCAUGGCAUUGUGAAGGCCGCUUGGCUGCAGCUCUUUCUCAGCAGUUUCUGGAAAGUUGCUGAGAGCAAGGACCAAGUACUCCAGCCUCCCACCAUGCUGUCUUUGGAGGGCUCUGUGGUGCAAAUCCCCUGCAGUCACUCCAUCUCUAAUGCCUACAACUACUUCUGGUAUCUUCACCUCCCGGGAAGGUGAAGAUUUUGUGAAGGGUUUGGGUCCUUCUCGGCAGGGACAUUACAACAUGACCCAGGAGUGCUUCUCCUCGUCACUGCUCAUCCCUCACGUGCAGGUGGCAGAUGCUGCCAUCUACUGCUGUGCUCUGGAGGCCACGUCGGUUGGUGUUAGCUUUGGAGUGAUUAAGGGACGUGCUAUAGAAGAGAGCGCUGUUACACAAACUAGAAUUCUAGGCAAAGAAUGCACCAAUCCUUUAGCUCCUCCUUCACCCAAACUGUCUGAUGUGUCUUUAGAAAUCAGAAAGUAUCCAGAUUUGUCAUGGAACAGUCGCUUGCAAACAUCUCUGGAACACGCUUAG